CCGCGCGCCCAGGGCUUUGGCUUUACUGGGCCUGGGGUCGGCCGGAGAAUCUGCAUUUCUAACAAGCUCCCAGGAUGCCGAUGUGGUAGUGAGGGGCCAGAGCAACAAAACCAGGUUGACCAGCAGCCUAUGUCCUGGCCUGGAGUGAAAGACACUCCAGCGGGAAUACAACCAGUUCUCUGGCUUAGGAAUCCAAACUGCGAUACGGGGAAGGAGAAGUCAUUUGGUAGCAUAAGAAGAAAUUGAAAAGAUGCCCCAUGGAGGCAGGCAAGCAGAAACCAUGAAGUGGUAGGGCCAUGAGGCCCCAAAGAAGCAGAACAUAGGCGUAAGCAGUAGUCACAGUUGAGCAGAAGCUGGAGGCAAGGAUGGAAGCGGAAAAGGCGGCAGGAGGAGCAGCCGUUGCCAUGGCUGAGGCUUGACUCACAGCUACAGCCUGCGGGGCGACCAGACUCUCCAGGCUCUGGGGUGCCCUUGAGUCCUGACUAUCUUUCCACUCUCUGCAAGGCCUUGCCUUAUGACUGUUUGGGGGCUUCCGUGUGAUUCCUGUCCUCUGGCUGCCAUGUAACCCCUUCCAAAAAAGCUCUCCCCAGCUCAGCACCUUACACGUAGUAGGUAUGUGUGUGAUGUGAAAUGUGUAAGGAUCUCAUCACUUGAGACAAUCUUAGAAAAAACUGCUUCCUGCAAUCAAAACUUCCUACCACACCACUUACAUUCUGAGCUCAUGAUUUGUAUCCACUUUCUUGGGGAUGAAUAUAGGACUCUUUCCAUGUCUUCCACAGUUCAGCACAUCGAUCGCUGUAACUGCUGAGCAAAGGAUCCUAUCUGGAAGAGCCUGAGCUCAUGGAGAGACACGGGUGUGUGUGGGCUCAGUCACUCAGUCGUGUCUGAUUCUUUGCGACCCCAUGGACUGCAGCCCACUAGGCUCCUUUGCCCUGAGAUUUCCCAGGCAAGAAUACUGGAGUGAGUUGCCAUUUCUUUCUCCAGGGGAUUUCCUAACCCAGGGAUCGUACCUGGGUCUCUUGCAUCUCCUGCAUUGGCAGGCAGAUUCUUUACCACUGAGCCACCUGGGGAGCCCAGAAAAAAUCUCCAGUACAAGUUGGUAGGGUGCUGGGAGGGGGACCCUAAAUACAGCAGGUGCCCAUCCAAAGGGUGGGUGACAAUCUCUCACUUCUUUGUAUCCAGCAGCUAUUGAGAGCCAAGUGGGAGACAGAAUAUGCUGUCUGGAAGAUAGGCAGCCUUAAGAAAUGAGAAGGACUUUAAUUGGCUCUUAACUGGGCUAAAUGUGCCAGGAAAGUGAAGAGACUGGUUCUCCAGGUGGAACAAGAUUAGUUCUCAUCUGGCAUGUUUAAUGGGUCAGCAGACACUCAAUCGAACAAGCUCUUCCACUCCUCUCCCUCUCUGCCGCAAGCCUUUGAAAACUCAUUUUAUCAAAAUUAAAGCUAGAUUCUGCUGUCUGCUGCUGCUG